rnacentral:rRNA from 1 species
GACGAACGCUGGCGGCGUGCUUAACACAUGCAAGUCGAACGGAAAGGCCCUGCUUUUGUGGGGUGCUCGAGUGGCGAACGGGUGAGUAACACGUGAGUAACCUGCCCUUGACUUUGGGAUAACUUCAGGAAACUGGGGCUAAUACCGGAUAGGAGCUCCUGCUGCAUGGUGGGGGUUGGAAAGUUUCGGCGGUUGGGGAUGGACUCGCGGCUUAUCAGCUUGUUGGUGGGGUAGUGGCUUACCAAGGCUUUGACGGGUAGCCGGCCUGAGAGGGUGACCGGGCAAAUUGGGAAAUGGAGGCGGGCAAAGACCCGCAAGGGGGGAAACAGGGGGAAUAAUCGAAAGAGGGGGGGAGGCUGAUGGCAGCACCCCCGGGCGGGGGAGAGGGCCUUCGGGUUUAAAAUCCCUUUGCGCCUGUACAAAAGGGAGGGGGGGGGAAGUGGGUAAAGAAGCCCGGGCAAACUGCGCC